UCUGACAAGAAGCUCUGAGGUGACUCUUAGGAUAUCAUGCAGAAGCUGAGAGGCAGACAGCGACUCAGUCUCAUUUUUUGCGGAGAAUUUUAUCCAGUGAUCCCUCCCUGCUUCCGAGCCUCCACGGUGGACUUUGCAACCUUGGCAUCAAGAGAAUAUGCACCGUGUGCUGUCUCAACAGCUGGAAUAGGAUCACAGUUGCCCAAGAAGGUGGGUUCAAGCUAUCCUAACAACCGACUUAAACCAGUGGGGGCUCCCAGAGGACUUCUUGGGACUGCCAGUUUCUGCUUGGGAUGAGGACACUCCUCCUGCUUAGCAUCCCAGAGGAGCAAGGAACAGCUGGCCUUCUUUGAACCCGAGGGCCGGGCUGCAUGUGGGCCACUCGGGGAAACCUACGCACACCUUGCGGAGAGUGACUGGACCCAGAACCCCUGGCCUUCAACUUCCCUGGAGGAUGGCAGGAUGGCACCCCCUUCUCAUUGAAUGACUCUGCCGGAUAGUCCUUGGUGGCUUUCCACAGGCGGCAACUGGGACGGAAAGGGCCGGGAUAGGGGAGUUCCUGUAGUUAAAGAUGAGGUUCUGAAUGCUGGGGGUGGGGCCACAGGAGCAGAGUGAGGGCUGAUGGUAUGACCAACAGAGAGAAGGGGAUGGGAUGAUGUGGGAGCCAAAGAAGCCAUGGCUGUGCUGCGGAACCAUCCAGGCAUGGCCUGGCUGUGGAAGAAUUAACUCAUAAAUAAAUGGCAGUCUCAGA